UUUAACUAUGAUUUACUGAAUAUUUUUGGUGAAACAUUAUUACAUUGUAUUAUUUGAGUAAAUGUAGGCAAAAAAAUUCAUUAAAUCAGAUGUAAAUUUAAAAAUCACAAAGCCAACGGUUUUUUAAUCAGCAGCAGAAGAAACAGCGUCUCUUGCAGGAAGAUAAACAACCUCAAAACUCCUCAAAAAUCCUGGUACAAGUGCUGGUGGUCCACCUGUCCGGGUUCAAGAGGUGUGGAUUCUGCAUGCUGUGAAUUUGAGAGACCUCUCAGAGUUUAUUUAGCUGAUUGUUUUUGUAACAUGUACAAUGUUUGCCAUUUUCAAUAAAACAACGUAUACAAAUU